CACGUAGUUAGCCGUGGCUUCCUCCUCAGGUACCGUCAUUAUCGUCCCUGAAGACAGAGCUUUACAACCCGAAGGCCGUCAUCACUCACGCGGCGUUGCUGCAUCAGGGUUUCCCCCAUUGUGCAAUAUUCCCCACUGCUGCCUCCCGUAGGAGUCUAGGCCGUGUCUCAGUCCCAAUGUGGCCGAUCACCCUCUCAGGUCGGCUACGCAUCGUCGCCUUGGUGAGCCGUUACCUCACCAACUAGCUAAUGCGCCGCGGGCCCAUCUCAUAGCGGAUUACUCCUUUAAUUGCUACUUCAUGCGAAGCUACAAUCUUAUGCGGUAUUAAUCUCCCUUUGGAAGCUAUUCCCCUCUAUGAGGUAGGUUGCCCACGUGUUACUCACCCGUUCGCCGCUAGCUUUUGUCCGAAGAACUCCACUCGCUCGACUUGCAUGUGUUAGGCACGCCGCCAGCGUUCUCCGUGAGUCCGAGGAGUACAAAACUCCUCUUAGACGUACGUACGG
rnacentral:rRNA from 1 species